UACAGAGGCCCCAAGCGUUACUGAGAAUCACUGGGUUUAAAGGGUGCGUAGGUGGCGCGUUAAGUCCGUUGUGAAAUCCCUGGGCUCAACCCAGGAAUUGCUUCGGAUACUGGCGUGCUUGAGGCCGGUAGGGGUCACUGGAACUGACGGUGGAGCGGUGAAAUGCGUAGAUAUCGUCAGGAACGCCGAUGGUGAAGACAGGUGACUGGGCCGGAACUGACACU
rnacentral:rRNA from 1 species